GACGAACGCUGGCGGCGUGCUUAACACAUGCAAGUCGAACGGAAAGGCCCUGCUUUUGUGGGGUGCUCGAGUGGCGAACGGGUGAGUAACACGUGAGUAACCUGCCCUUGACUUUGGGAUAACUUCAGGAAACUGGGGCUAAUACCGGAUAGGAGCUCCUGCUGCAUGGUGGGGGUUGGAAAGUUUCGGCGGUUGGGGAUGGACUCGCGGCUUAUCAGCUUGUUGGUGGGGUAGUGGCUUACCAAGGCUUUGACGGGUAGCCGGCCUGAGAGGGUGACCGGCCACAUUGGGACUGAGAUACGGCCCAGACUCAUACGGGAGGCAGCAGUGGGGAAUAUUGCACAAUGGGCGGAAGCCUGAUGCAGCAACGCCGCGUGCGGGAUGACGGCCUUCGGGUUGUAAACCGCUUUCGCCUGUGACGAAGCGUGAGGGACGGGAAUGGGUAAAGAAGCACCGGCUAACUACGU
rnacentral:rRNA from 1 species